AUACGUAGGGGGCAAGCGUUAUCCGGAUUUACUGGGUGUAAAGGGAGCGUAGACGGCACUGCAAGUCUGGAGUGAAAGCCCGGGGCUCAACCCCGGGACUGCUUUGGAAACUGUGGUGCUAGAGUGCGGGAGAGGUAAGUGGAAUUCCUAGUGUAGCGGUGAAAUGCGUAGAUAUUAGGAGGAACACCAGUGGCGAAGGCGGCUUACUGGACUGUAACUGACGUUGAGGCUCGAAAGCGUGGGGAGGC
rnacentral:rRNA from 1 species